AGAGUUUGAUCCUGGCUCAGGAUGAACGCUGGCGGCAUGCCUAAUACAUGCAAGUCGAACGAAGUUUCGAGGAAGCUUGCUUCCAAAGAGACUUAGUGGCGAACGGGUGAGUAACACGUAGGUAACCUGCCCAUGUGUCCGGGAUAACUGCUGGAAACGGUAGCUAAAACCGGAUAGGUAUACAGAGCGCAUGCUCAGUAUAUUAAAGCGCCCAUCAAGGCGUGAACAUGGAUGGACCUGCGGCGCAUUAGCUAGUUGGUGAGGUAACGGCCCACCAAGGCAAUGAUGCGUAGCCGGCCUGAGAGGGUAAACGGCCACAUUGGGACUGAGACACGGCCCAAACUCCUACGGGAGGCAGCAGUAGGGAAUUUUCGUCAAUGGGGGAAACCCUGAACGAGCAAUGCCGCGUGAGUGAAGAAGGUUUUCGGAUCGUAAAGCUCUGUUGUAAGUGAAGAACGGCUCAUAGAGGAAAUGCUAUGGGAGUGACGGUAGCUUACCAGAAAGCCACGGCUAACUACGUGCCAGCAGCCGCGGUAAUACGUAGGUGGCAAGCGUUAUCCGGAAUCAUUGGGCGUAAAGGGUGCGUAGGUGGCGUACUAAGUCUGUAGUAAAAGGCAAUGGCUCAACCAUUGUAAGCUAUGGAAACUGGUAUGCUGGAGUGCAGAAGAGGGCGAUGGAAUUCCAUGUGUAGCGGUGAAAUGCGUAGAUAUAUGGAGGAACACCAGUGGCGAAGGCGGUCGCCUGGUCUGUAACUGACACUGAGGCACGAAAGCGUGGGGAGCAAAUAGGAUUAGAUACCCUAGUAGUCCACGCCGUAAACGAUGAGAACUAAGUGUUGGAGGAAUUCAGUGCUGCAGUUAACGCAAUAAGUUCUCCGCCUGGGGAGUAUGCACGCAAGUGUGAAACUCAAAGGAAUUGACGGGGGCCCGCACAAGCGGUGGAGUAUGUGGUUUAA
rnacentral:rRNA from 1 species